AGUCGAGCGAAGCUUUUCAGUAGUUACUACAGAAAAUGACUGAGCGGCGAACGGGUGAGUAACGCGUGAGCAAUCUACCUUAGUUACAGGGAUAGCCCGAGGAAACUCGGAUUAAUACCUGAUAUUCUUUAUUUCUCGCAUGAGAAUAAAAGGAAAGGGCAGCCGAACUAAGAUGAGCUCGCGUUCUAUCAGCUAGUUGGUGAGGUAAAAGCUUACCAAGGCUACGACGGAUAGCUGGUCUGAGAGGACGAUCAGCCACACUGGGACUGAGACACGGCCCAGACUCCUACGGGAGGCUGCAGCAGGGAAUAUUGUGCAAUGAACGAAAGUUUGACACAGCGACACCGCGUGUGGGAUGACAGAUCUAGGUUUGUAAACCACUUUCAGGAGGGAAGAAAAUGACGGUACCUCCACAAGAAGCCCCGGCCAACUACGUGCCAGCAGCCGCGGUAAUACGUAGGGGGCGAGCGUUGUCCGGAUUUAUUGGGCGUAAAGAGCUCGUAGGCGGUUCAACAAGUCGGUAGUAAAAGUUCAGGGCUCAACCCUGAAAUGUCUAUCGAUACUGUUGUGACUAGGAUACGGCAGAGGUGAGUGGAAUUCCGAGUGUAGCGGUGAAAUGCGUAGAUAUUCGGAGGAACACCAAUUGCGAAGGCAGCUCACUGGGCCGCUAUCGACGCUGAGGAGCGAAAGCUAGGGGAGCAAACAGGAUUAGAUACCCUGGUAGUCCUAGCUGUAAACGAUGGAUACUAGACGUAGGAACUGGAUUGA
rnacentral:rRNA from 1 species